rnacentral:SRP_RNA from 1 species
GCUGAGCUGAAUAGCGUCACCUUUUGACCCAAGCGGGGCACCAAGGUGAUGGAACAUGGCUUUGGUUUAAUAAAUUGGACGGGUGUGUGCACCAUGUUUGCCUGUUCGCUCCAAGUUGAGAAUUGAACCAUGAGAUUUGAGCGAAGACACGGUUCUUGUGGGUCUUAGACGAGAGGGUACGACGUGAGGCUGGUUUUACAUAAUAAUUAAAGACGAAUUAUUUCGAUUGGAUUAUUUCUUACUAUUUUCUAGCUUGCUUGAAUUGCCAUUAUCAUUUUAAUACACAUUUUAAAUCAUAGCCAUCAUUUUU